rnacentral:lncRNA from 1 species
CUCCGGGCAGAGCGCGUGUGGCGGCCGAGCACAUGGGCCCGCGGGCCGGGCGGGCUCGGGGCGGCCGGGACGAGGAGGGGCGACGACGAGCUGCGAGCAAAGAUGUGCCCCGGGACCCCCGGCACCUUCCAGUGGAUUUCCUUGCGGAAAGGAUGUUGGCGGUCCCUGUGACCUGUGGAGACACGGCCAGAUCUGCCCUCCAGACCAUAGCUGUCUGCAGUGCAGGAAGCCAACUAUUAAGGGGAAACAAAAGUGUUCUUAGGAGUCCUGCUGUCACUGUGGAUUGAGCCGGUGAAGCCCUGAGGGAUUUCAUCGCUGAGGUGGAUGGAGAAGCAGCUGGGGGCCUUGGCUGUAAGGACCCCUAAGGGCCUGAUCUUUUGGCCAGAAGGAGAUUAAAAAGAUGCCCCUCAAGAUGGCUGUGCCUGUCAGCUGCAUGGAGCUUCGUUCAAGUAUUUUCUGAGCCUGAUGGAUUUACAGUGAUCUUCAGUGGUCUGGGGAAUAACGCUGGUGGAACCAUGCACUGGAAUGACACACGCCCGGCACAUUUCAGGAUACUAAAAGUGGUUUUAAGGGAGGCUGUGGCUGAAUGCCUCAUGGAUUCUUACAGCUUGGAUGUCCAUGGGGGACGAAGGACUGCAGCUGGCUGAGAGGGUUGAGAUCUCUGUUUACUUAGAUCUCUGCCAACUUCCUUUGGGUCUCCCUAUGGAAUGUAAGACCCCGACUCUUCCUGGUGAAGCAUCUGAUGCACGUUCCAUCCGGCGCUCAGCUGGGCUUGAGCUGACCAUACUCCCUGGAGCCUUCUCCCGAGGUGCGCGGGUGACCUUGGCACAUACAGCCAUCAUGAUGGUACUUUAAGUGGAGGCUGAAUCAUCUCCCCUUUGAGCUGCUUGGCACGUGGCUCCCUUGGUGUUCCCCUUUUACUGCCAGGACACUGAGAUUUGGAGAGAAUCCUGUUACACCUGGGAUUUAGGCACUUUCAAUCUGAAAAAAUACAUAUCCUUUCAGCACUCUGGACGGACUUGAGAACUGUCCUUACGUGACCUAAAGCUGGAGUAUUUUGAGAUUGGAGAAUUAAGAAGGACAGAAUAACGGGCUCCCAGAUUCACAAGCCCCACCAAGAGGAUCACCCCAGGAACGCUUGGAGGCUGAGGAGUUCACUGAGGCUACUGCAUCUUGAGACUCAGGAUGAAGACCCAGCUUGGGGCUGUCAAAGGUUUUUUGCAUGUCUGACACCCAUGACUCCACCUGGACCUUAUGGCUCCACCCAGAAGCAAUUCAGCCCAACAGGAGGACAGCUUCAACCCAUUACGAUUUCAUCUCUGCCCCAACCACUCAGCAGCAAGCACCUGUUACCUGUCCACCCCCACCCCUUCCCCCAAACUGCCUUUGAAAAAUCCCUAACCUAUGAGCUUUGAAUAAGAUGAGUACGAACUUCAUCGCCCACGUGGCGUGGCCGGCCUCGUGUCUAUUAAAUUCUUUUUCUACUACAA